rnacentral:rRNA from 1 species
GAACCUGCGAAGGCAAGCGGAUCUCUUAAAGCCGUUCUCAGUUCGGACUGUAGGCUGCAACUCGCCUACACGAAGCUGGAAUCGCUAGUAAUCGCGGAUCAGCACGCCGCGGUGAAUACGUUCCCGGGCCUUGUACACACCGCCCGUCACACCAUGAGAGUCUGUAACACCCAAAGCCGGUGGGAUAACCUUUAUAGGAGUCAGCCGUCUAAGGUAGGACAGAUGAUUAGGGUGAAGUCGUAACAAGGUACC